AAAAUAAAGCAAAGUUGGAAUUGAAUUAGGAACAAGCAAAGUUUGAGAGGUGACAGUUCUUAAAACCAAACUGAGUGCUGAAUGUGACUGAUCCCACAGAUAUGUGCAGCAGGGGCUACAGCGAGUGGGGCUAGAUCCCCAGCUGCCACUGAAUCUGGCUGCCCUUCAGGCCCACCUGGCCCAGGAGAACCGUGUGGUGGCCUUCUUCAGCCUGGCUCUACUGCUUGCCCCACUGGUGGAGACGCUUAUUCUACUGGACCGGCUGCUGUACCUUCAGGAACAGGGUUUCCAUGCUGAGCUCCUGCCCAUCUUCAGUCCUGAACUCUCUCCCAGAAACCUGGUUCUGGUGGCCACCAAGAUGCCCCUGGGUCAGGCUCUUUCAGUUCUGGAGAUUGAAGACAGCUGAUGCAGCCUGAGGACACAUCUCAGACCCCAUCAUCUGAAAGUGCCCAGAGAGCACAGUGGCAGAGUACAUCUCAUCCAGAGAAACAGCAUCCUGCAUCCUCCAGAGUCCUGGUUCCUUCAGUUUCAUCCCCUUUCUCUCCCUCCAUGGAUUAUGUAAUACAGUAUAAAGUUUUAAUUUAUUAAAAGUUGGAAAUCUGUUUCCGUCCCA
rnacentral:sRNA from 1 species